rnacentral:rRNA from 1 species
UACGAAGGGUGCAAACGUUGCUCGGAAUUAUUGGGCGUAAAGCGCACGUAGGCGGCUUGGCAAGUCGGAUGUGAAAUCCCUCGGCUCAACCAAGGAAGUGCAUCCGAAACUGCCGAGCUUGAGUACUUAAGAGGAUCGCGGAAUUCCCGGUGUAGAGGUGAAAUUCGUAGAUAUCGGGAGGAACACCAGUGGCGAAGGCGGUUGCCUGGAGCUUUGCUGACGCUGAUGCGCGAAAGCGUGGGGAGCGAUCCGG